rnacentral:lncRNA from 1 species
GACCAAGCCUUCCACACACUGCGAGAACUGUUCUCCCAACCUUAGCAGCCACCACUGAGAAAUACUGUGGUAAACUGUAUCACUCUAGAGCCCCGGUCUGAGCCUGCCACGUGGACAGCCGGUCCUGAACUGGGCUGUGGGAUCAGCUUUAAUCCAGUUGUGGAGGUGGAGAAGUGAACAGCAGAGACUCCUCAUGCAGCGAGGACCUGGUACCUCCAGGACAGACGGACAGCGGUGUCCAGAUCGGAGUUCCCUCAUUCCCGGGGCCAGCUUGCCCAGCUUCGUGGGAAGCUUUGGUCAACCAUGGCUCCACCUGGAACAUCAGAUCCGGCAGGCCAAGACUUGACCCCUCCACAGAAUGGACCUCACUUCACACAAUAGCUUCAGGUCCUGGCUGGUAUUGGUGCUUUGGACAGAUUUGCUGUAAACUGGGGAUGGGGGUUAUGCCUUGAAUUUGAGUUCCUCUGAGUAUACUUUGUCACUUGCUAGAAUUGUUCGUAGAACUCUGAAAGACAUUUUACAUACAUUGAUCUUUUUAUUUUCAAGGGGCCAGCUUUAAGACCGAGCAUGUGGCAGAAGUUCUGAGGGAUAGGGAAGCUUGUCAUGGCCUUGGCAGGCAUUACCCUCCACAGCUCCCACAUCUGGAAGUUCUCUGAAUUCUACAGUUCCUCUCUUGGUGGUUGCAGGAAAUAUAAAAAAACAAACGAGCGAG